rnacentral:rRNA from 1 species
UACGGAGGGUGCAAGCGCUAAUCGGAAUUACUGGGCGUAAAGCGUGCGUAGGCGGCUCUUUAAGUCAGAUGUGAAAUCCCCGGGCUCAACCUGGGAACUGCAUCUGAUACUGGGGAGCUAGAAUGUGGGAGAGGGAAGUGGAAUUUCCGGUGUAGCGGUGAAAUGCAUAGAGAUCGGAAGGAACAUCAGUGGCGAAGGCGACUUCCUGGACCAACAUUGACGCUGAGGCACGAAAGCGUGGGUAGCAAACAGG